GUCUCAGUAAUUUUUUGGCGGGAUAUUGAUUGUUGUUUGUGUGUAUAUGAAUAUUUUGUGAAUGUCUUGUUUCAAUCAAUAUGUGACACUAUAGUAAACAAUUUUAUUCUUUAUUCUCUUCUGUCAAUUAAAAAUUAAAAAGAAGAUGGGGUGUGAUCCCGGCUAUGAGACAGAUUCCACAAGAGACAAAAUGACAUCGAACAUGAAAAGUUUACAACCAUAUUUUUUGUCUUUGCAAUGAAUUGUAUAGUUAGACAAAUCCUUGGUCUAUGUUAUUGUUUUUCGUUUAAAUUUUUUUUAGCGGAAUUUGAGGUUCAUUCAGAUUUUUAAUUUUCCG
rnacentral:lncRNA from 1 species